GUAGGGGGCGAGCGUUAUCCGGAUUUACUGGGUGUAAAGGGAGCGCAGGCGGUACGGCGAGUCUGAUGUGAAAACCCGGGGCCCAACCCCGGGACCGCACCGGAUACUGCCGGACUCGAGUGCCGGAGGGGCAGGCGGAAUUCCUGGUGUAGCGGUGAAAUGCGCAGAUAUCAGGAGGAACACCGGUGGCGAAGGCGGCCUGCUGGACGGUAACUGACGCUGAGGCUCGAAAGCGUGGGGAGCGA
rnacentral:rRNA from 1 species